rnacentral:lncRNA from 1 species
GACUUCAAUGAAUAAACUGUAUUAAUUGGCCCAACCAAAAAUUAUGAAAAUUUUAUGGUAAGAAUAUAUGUGAAUCUAGUUUUAGGAAAAAUUAGCGGAUCUUAAUUUGGAAUUUCGUAGCUUCAGAUAUAAAUAAUUUAGUGACUAUGACACGGGUGGAUAGCUUGAAUAUUCACAUAAGUAAUUAGUGAAAAUUAUGGAUAAGGUUACUUACAAGUGUGUUAUUUAUACCAAGGAUGUGGAUGGAGAGGAGGAGGAGGA